GGUUAAGCGACUAAGCGUACACGGUGGAUGCCCUGGCAGUCAGAGGCGAUGAAGGACGUGCUAAUCUGCGAUAAGCGUCGGUAAGGUGAUAUGAACCGUUAUAACCGGCGAUUUCCGAAUGGGGAAACCCAGUGUGAUUCGUCACACUAUCAUUAACUGAAUCCAUAGGUUAAUGAGGCGAACCGGGGGAACUGAAACAUCUAAGUACCCCGAGGAAAAGAAAUCAACCGAGAUUCCCCCAGUAGCGGCGAGCGAACGGGGAGGAGCCCAGAGCCUGAAUCAGUGUGUGUGUUAGUGGAAGCGUCUGGAAAGGCGCGCGAUACAGGGUGACAGCCCCGUACACAAAAAUGCACAUGCUGUGAGCUCGAUGAGUAGGGCGGGACACGUGGUAUCCUGUCUGAAUAUGGGGGGACCAUCCUCCAAGGCUAAAUACUCCUGACUGACCGAUAGUGAACCAGUACCGUGAGGGAAAGGCGAAAAGAACCCCGGCGAGGGGAGUGAAAAAGAACCUGAAACCGUGUACGUACAAGCAGUGGGAGCACGCUCAGGCGUGUGACUGCGUACCUUUUGUAUAAUGGGUCAGCGACUUAUAUUCUGUAGCAAGGUUAACCGAAUAGGGGAGCCGAAGGGAAACCGAGUCUUAACUGGGCGUUAAGUUGCAGGGUAUAGACCCGAAACCCGGUGAUCUAGCCAUGGGCAGGUUGAAGGUUGGGUAACACUAACUGGAGGACCGAACCGACUAAUGUUGAAAAAUUAGCGGAUGACUUGUGGCUGGGGGUGAAAGGCCAAUCAAACCGGGAGAUAGCUGGUUCUCCCCGAAAGCUAUUUAGGUAGCGCCUCGUGAAUUCAUCUCCGGGGGUAGAGCACUGUUUCGGCAAGGGGGUCAUCCCGACUUACCAACCCGAUGCAAACUGCGAAUACCGGAGAAUGUUAUCACGGGAGACACACGGCGGGUGCUAACGUCCGUCGUGAAGAGGGAAACAACCCAGACCGCCAGCUAAGGUCCCAAAGUCAUGGUUAAGUGGGAAACGAUGUGGGAAGGCCCAGACAGCCAGGAUGUUGGCUUAGAAGCAGCCAUCAUUUAAAGAAAGCGUAAUAGCUCACUGGUCGAGUCGGCCUGCGCGGAAGAUGUAACGGGGCUAAACCAUGCACCGAAGCUGCGGCAGCGACGCUUAUGCGUUGUUGGGUAGGGGAGCGUUCUGUAAGCCUGUGAAGGUGUGCUGUGAGGCAUGCUGGAGGUAUCAGAAGUGCGAAUGCUGACAUAAGUAACGAUAAAGCGGGUGAAAAGCCCGCUCGCCGGAAGACCAAGGGUUCCUGUCCAACGUUAAUCGGGGCAGGGUGAGUCGACCCCUAAGGCGAGGCCGAAAGGCGUAGUCGAUGGGAAACAGGUUAAUAUUCCUGUACUUGGUGUUACUGCGAAGGGGGGACGGAGAAGGCUAUGUUGGCCGGGCGACGGUUGUCCCGGUUUAAGCGUGUAGGCUGGUUUUCCAGGCAAAUCCGGAAAAUCAAGGCUGAGGCGUGAUGACGAGGCACUACGGUGCUGAAGCAACAAAUGCCCUGCUUCCAGGAAAAGCCUCUAAGCAUCAGGUAACAUCAAAUCGUACCCCAAACCGACACAGGUGGUCAGGUAGAGAAUACCAAGGCGCUUGAGAGAACUCGGGUGAAGGAACUAGGCAAAAUGGUGCCGUAACUUCGGGAGAAGGCACGCUGAUACGUAGGUGAAGCGACUUGCUCGUGGAGCUGAAAUCAGUCGAAGAUACCAGCUGGCUGCAACUGUUUAUUAAAAACACAGCACUGUGCAAACACGAAAGUGGACGUAUACGGUGUGACGCCUGCCCGGUGCCGGAAGGUUAAUUGAUGGGGUCAGCGCAAGCGAAGCUCUUGAUCGAAGCCCCGGUAAACGGCGGCCGUAACUAUAACGGUCCUAAGGUAGCGAAAUUCCUUGUCGGGUAAGUUCCGACCUGCACGAAUGGCGUAAUGAUGGCCAGGCUGUCUCCACCCGAGACUCAGUGAAAUUGAACUCGCUGUGAAGAUGCAGUGUACCCGCGGCAAGACGGAAAGACCCCGUGAACCUUUACUAUAGCUUGACACUGAACAUUGAGCCUUGAUGUGUAGGAUAGGUGGGAGGCUUUGAAGUGUGGACGCCAGUCUGCAUGGAGCCGACCUUGAAAUACCACCCUUUAAUGUUUGAUGUUCUAACGU
rnacentral:rRNA from 1 species